rnacentral:lncRNA from 1 species
GAUGGGCAUUUUAUUUUGAAUUGUUUCAAGUAAAUUUGAUGUAAAUUUGAGUCGUCGUCUCAUAUUUAAUUCCGUUGGGACGUUCAAUCUGUCGGUUCGUUCAUGACUUUUCGUAAAAAAAUUUUAUUCUUACAACUUUCGGGAACGUUGAGAUGCGAACGGAGAGACAUGGUUUAGGAUCCUUUAUCGUUUAGAUAUCAUGUCUUGAGAUGUCUGAGACCAAUGCGAUGGGUUUAGGGCAAGACCUAGGUUUACUCUCGGUUUUAAGGUUUGUGUGGUGACUAGCCGGCUAUCGUUUUUCCUGUUGCGAUUUCUACCUGAUUCGUACCGAUUUAAAGUCCGC